GGAGUUUUUCCUAGGGAGUUUUUCCUAGCCACCGUGCUUCUUUCACAUGCAUUGCUUGCUGUUUGGGGUUUUAGGCUGGGUUUCUGUACAGCACUUUGAGAUAUCAGCUGAUGUACGAAGGGCUAUAUAAAUACAUUUGAUUUGAUUUGAUUACUGAGACAGAGGAGGCAGUUGAGGGCCAUGGAUAGAGACAGAGGAGGCAGUUGAGGGCCAUGGAUAGAGACAGAGGAGGCAGCUGAGGGUCAUGGAUAGAGACAGAGCUAUACAGUUUAUAUUUAGAUUAUGGAGUAAACAUGCAGAAAGCUGUCAGUUCUAUUUAUGUCACUGUCACUAACGACACUGAUGAACUGUUGGGUUUGUAAAAUAAUAUUGGCAUAUUACAGAAGGAUCUAUAUUUCUAGUGACACUGUAAGUAUGCUAAAUGACUAAAAUGUACAUCUAAAAUGUAGAAAUAGUUACAGUAGUGGUAGUAGUAGCAAUAGUAGCAGUAGUAGUAGUAGCGGUAGUGGUAGUCAUAGUAGUAGUAGUAGUAGUAGUAGCAGUAGUAGCAAUAGUAGCAGUAGUAGUAGUGGUAGUAGUAGUAGUAGUAGUAGUAGUAGCAGUAGUAGUAGCAGUAGUAGUGGUAGUCGUAGUCGUAGUAGUAGUAGUAGUAGCAGUAGCAGUAGUAGCAGUAGCAGUAGUAGCAAUAGUAGCAGUAGUAGCAGUAGCAGUAGUAGUAGCAGUAGUAGCAGUAGCAGUAGUAGCAGUAGUAGUAGUAGUAGUAGUAGCAGUAGUAGUAGCAGUAGUAGUGGUAGUCGUAGUCGUAGUAGUAGCAAUAGUAGCAGUAGUAGUAGUAGCAGUGGUAGUGGUAGUAGUAGUGGUGGUAGUAGUAGUAGCAGUAGCAGUAGUAGCAAUACAAGCAGUAGCAGCAGCAGUAGUAGUAUAAGUAGUAGUAGUAGUGGUAGUAGUUGUAGUGGUAGUAGUUGUAGUGGUAGUAGUUGUAGUGGUAGUAGUGGUAGUAUUGGUAGUGGUAGUAGUAGUGGUAGAUUUGGUAGUAUUGGUAGUGGUAGCUGUAGUGGAAGUAGUGGUAGUGGUAUUAAACUCAGCAAUAAAAGAAACAUCCUCUCACUGUCAACUGCGUUUAUUUUAAGCAAAUUUAACAUGUGUAAAUAUUUGUAUGAACAUAAGAUUCAACAACUGAGACAUAAACUAAACAAGUUCCAAAAUGGAAUAAUGUGUCCGUUGUCGUGUCUUUGGGGUACCAUUAAACUGAAGACAUGUUUAUCAAUUAACUCCCUGUAAUUAUUAUCACGCGAUUAAACUGAUUAAUCGUUUAAUUGUAAUUAACUA
rnacentral:lncRNA from 1 species